rnacentral:rRNA from 1 species
GUCUAUGGCCAUGCCACCUUGAACAAGCCUGAUAUCUGAUCUCAGAAGCUAAGUAGGGUCAGGCCUGGUUAGUACUUGGAUGGGAGACCACCUAGGAAGACCAGGUGCUGUAGGCA